rnacentral:rRNA from 1 species
GCUCAGAAUGAACGCUGGCGGCGUGCCUAACACAUGCAAGUCGUACGAGAAAUCGAUCCUUCGGGUUCGAGAGUAAAGUGGCGCACGGGUGAGUAACGCGUGGGUAACCUACCCUCAUGACAGGGAUAACACCUCGAAAGAGGUGCUAAUACCUGGUAAGACCACAGUGACCUCGGUCACAGCGGUAAAAGAUGGCCUCUACAUGUAAGCUUUCGCUUGAGGAUGGGCCCGCGUGCUAUUAGCUAGUUGGUGGGGUAACGGCCUACCAAGGCUACGAUAGCUAGCUGGUCUGAGAGGAUGACCAGCCACACUGGAACUGGAACACGGACCAGACUCCUACGGGAGGCAGCAGUGAGGAAUUUUGCGCAAUGGGGGAAACCCUGACGCAGCAACGCCGCGUGAGUGAUGAAGGCUUUCGGGUCGUAAAGCUCUGUCUAGCGGGAAGAAACCUUCCAAGGUCAAUAGCCUUGGAAGCUGACGGUACCGCUGAAGGAAGCACCGGCUAACUCCGUGCCAGCAGCCGCGGUAAUACGGAGGGUGCUAGCGUUAUUCGGAAUCAUUGGGUGUAAAGCGCGUGCAGGCGGCUAGGUAAGUCAGAUGUGAAAGCUCCAGGCUUAACUUGGAAAGUGCAUUUGAAACUGCCUGGCUUGAGUCCGGGAGAGGAAGGUGGAAUUCCCAGUGUACAGGUGAAAUUCGUAGAUCUUGGGAGGAACACCGGUGGCGAAGGCGACCUUCUGGACCGAGACUGACGCUGAGACGCGAAAGCGUGGGGAGCAAACAGGAU